UACGGAGGAUCCGAGCGUUAUCCGGAUUUAUUGGGUUUAAAGGGUGCGUAGGCGGCGAGUUAAGUCAGCGGUAAAAGCCCGGGGCUCAACCCCGGCGAGCCGUUGAAACUGGCUGUCUUGAGAUGUCGAGAGGUAUGCGGAAUGCGCAGUGUAGCGGUGAAAUGCUUAGAUAUUGCGCAGAACUCCGAUUGCGAAGGCAGCGUACCGGCGCCAGACUGACGCUGAGGCACGAAAGCGUGGGGAUCGAACAGG
rnacentral:rRNA from 1 species